rnacentral:tRNA from 1 species
GCGGGUAUGGUGGAACUGGCAGACACGUCGGAUUUAGGUUCCGAUGCGCACCGCGCGUGGAGGUUCGAGUCCUCUUACCCGCA